GUCACCGGUCGAGGCUAAUGGAGCGUGAGGACUGAGACAGAUCCACGGCUGCGCAGAAACAGAGAGCAGGAGACACAGAUUUUCGCUUCAUAAGACAUUUAUUGAAGGACUGGAUUAUUUGUGACGUUUUUAUCAGCUGUUUGGACUCUCAUUCUGACGGCACCCAUUCACUGCAGAGGAUCCAUUGGUGAACAAGUGAUGCAAUGCUAUACAUUUCUCCAAAUCUGAUCCCAUAAAGAAACAAACUCUACCACUUGGCAUGAGGGAAAGCCAGAGACGUCAGGGGAGUGUUGCCGCUGUAGGAGGUGUGCGGCGAAAGCAAUGUUCAAGGAGCAACACAGAAACAUACUCACAUUAGUGCUGUUGCCAGGGAGAUUGAUAGUCCCCGUAGAAAUGUGGCUGGCAGUAAUCAAGGAUGUGAUGUUCCCGCAUGCUAGAACAACACUGAAAUCACAGAGGGCAGAGAAACACAGCAUUAUGUGGCUACAGCGGUGCUUUUCUUUGGGUUUGACUCAGUUGAGGGUGCUGUAGGGACGGUAUGAUUUCAUUCCUUUACUGCCGGAUGAUUCAGAUGCACUUGUACUGUAAUGCUCAAACAAUUCAUAAAUACUGGAAAUCAUUAUUUAUGGGCACAUUUCACACAUGGUGGCAGAUUUGUUUUUAUUGUUUUUCCAGUAAAAAUAUAUAAACUUGUAAAAAAAAAAAGAUCUAACCUAAAAUAACAUUUUGCUUUUAAAAACAAAAUGCAUUCACUUGAGAAGCAAAACUGUGUAAGAAUUUCUUCUGAGAAUAUAGUGGCAAUUAGGUGUAUGUCCUUACCACACUGGCAAAUUGUUGUUCUUGUUUUAGGUAUAAAAUUAUUUCUUUGUAUUCUUCAUGCUCUUCUUCAUAUUCUUAGUCUUUCUUGUAUUCAUCUUCAUAUUCUUCUUAGUGUUC